UUUCUUUACAAUAUUAAUAUGGAAGAAUUUUCAUAAUAUUAGGUCACCUAAUUAAAUUAAAGAUACCAAUAUCAAUGUGAAUUGCAAUGUAGAACGUCAUAUAAAACGCAUGUGUUUACUUGUUCAAUUUUACACUAAUUUAAGCAUCUCGUUGUGACACCUAAAAUCAAAGUGAAUAAAUGUUGGCUGAGGUCAAGUGACGAGCAUGUUUAUGUAUGAUGCUUUAUUUACAGUUGUAUGUUCCAAAAUAACAAUGUAUGGCCAAUGAACCUUUGAACGAAAAAUUACAUUGUUUAUAUAUGACUAAAAUUAUUCUUUUUUAUAUAUAAAUAAUAAAUGUUGAACCUUUGAUUUAUUUAUAUGUUACUUCUUUAUAUUUUAAAUUCCUUUGAUAAAUUCCAGACUUCGCCACUUAACAACAAUAAUAUCAAGUUAUGAAAGAUACGAGAGUAAAAUCGUAAUACAUAAUAAUCUUAUCUGGUAUUUUCAUAGUAUCUUACUCUCUAUUUUUACGACGGUAUUUCCCAUAAUAUCUUAUUCCCUAAUUUUACUAUUGUCUGUUAUUAUUUUGUUUAUCUUGUUAUUUUUGCGGUCUUUAUUUCCUUUCUAUUUUUGCUAAAAUAUAAUUUAAGAAGAGAAAAAAGGGGGGAAAUAGUGGUUUAGAAAAAAGAAAAUAGAUCAACCACAAAAUAAGGCAAGAAGAUAAACCUCAAAUCUCAAACUAAGAAAGAGUCAAAUACGGCAAGAAUUAUAAUAUUUUUGAUUAACCAAAAAAAGAAAAAAAAAGUUUCCUAAUUAAUCAAUGCAAAACAUUCAUCAACAUUUUCUAAUCAACUUAACCCCCCCUAUUGCAUCUCUUAAAUCAUUCCCCACUCUUUACAAUUUUUCAGAAUCUUGUGAAGGAUGGCUGAACAAGCACAACCAACUAUGUCUCAACAACCAGUUGACAUUGCACAAACUAGGAAGAAGAAGUUAAACGUACCACAUAUAUGUCUUGAAUCAAUGAAGUCACCACCAUUGCCGUCCUCCACGCCUUCUUCACCAGCAGCCUUAAGGAAAACAUCAAGUGUAAAGUACAGCUGCUUAUGCUCACCAACCACACAUGCAGGUUCUUUCAGGUGCAGAUAUCACAGGAACUCCGGCCUGACUCGCACCAGCAUGUCCGUUGGCUCUAAACUCUCCGAGCUUGCUGCUGGAAAGUGACUAACUAACUUUCUGAAUCACCACAGUAUUGUUCAGCUCAGGAGUAGCUUCAACAGUUAAGGCUCUUUUGAGAUAUGAAAGUAUUAAGCAUACAAUAAUUGUUCCUUUAAGCUAAGUCCUUUCAUAAAGUAUUUAUAUUUUUACACUUGCUCAUAAGUACUGUGUUAAUUGAUAAGUCGGAUUGUAAAUUUAUAAAGGAUGAUAGGUUGCUGUGUAUUUGUGUAUUGGUUGAUUCUUGGUUAAACGUUGCUCUCAUUCGUGGAGCCACGCUUGUCAUCCCUUUACUAGAAACUUAUACUAUGUAUAUACUAUAUGUUAAAAUC